UCACCAGUUACUGUUUUGUACUUUGGUAGUAAAGUGACUAAGAAAAUGAUGUGGGGCCUACUGGUCUCUGGGUCCUUGAAGGCUCACCCUACAAGGGAAUAGUAGGAUCUUGGUCUCUUCCUCUUCCCAGCCAUGAGGUGAGGACUUUGCUCCCCUAUACUUUCCCACUGUGAUGUGCUGCCUCAGAACAAGCCCAAACCACUGGGAACAACUGAUCAUGGACUGACACCUCCAAAACCAUGAGCUAAGAUAAACCUUUUUUCUUCGUAAGCUGAUUGUCUCAGGUGUUUGUUAUAGUAAUGGAAAGCUAAAAGUCACAACUCCUAACACACAUGACUCUGUUCUUCAGAUGCAAAUGAAGUAAGUGAAAGCAUGAAGUUCGUCCAGGGAAAUCCUAACCAGCCAGAGGGCUGGCAGCAGAGACCGUGAGAGAAGGAACAGGGUCUUGUUAUGUAAUUCAAGUUGGCCUUGAACUCAUUCUUUAGCCAAGGCAGAAAAACUCCCAGCAAUUGUCCUGCCUGAGCCUUCCAAGCACUGGGAUUACAGGCGUGCACCACCAUGCCCAGCUUACCAUUAUGCAUGGAUUCAACAGACAUCUCUUAGCGCUACCUUCUGUCCAGUGGACAGCACAUCAGGUGUGACAUGGAGAAAGGGACAACCGUGUGGAGAGUCACUUCCCUGGUGGCCAGAGAUGCAGAGGAAAUUGACCAGGGCUCCUUGGCGCCAUCUUGGUGGGUAGAACUCAAAACAGCUGUGGGCACGUCCAGCUGUGAAUCUCUGCAGACCCCUUUGGAGAUCACAUGAAAGUACAGAUAAACCUUCCAUACCUGCCUGGCUGCAGCAGCUGUGCUCCUCCCAUACUGCAGGUUGGAAUCAUCCUGAAAACCCUAAAAAGUAGAUGCUGAGGUGGGUGUGGUGGUGCACACCUAUAAUCCCACCACUCUGGGAGGCUGAGACAGGAGGAUUUCCACUUGCAGCCCAGCCCAGGAAAUUUAAAGGUUUAGCA